GAGAAAGUAAGCAAGGGCAGACGGUGGAUGCCUUGGCUCUCGGAGGCGACGAAGGACGUGAUAAGCUGCGAAAAGCCCGGGGGAGGC
rnacentral:rRNA from 1 species